CCUGCGGCCAGCCACGUCACCCCCCUGAGUCACUUCUGCAGGACAAGCCAAAGGGAGCACCAGGGCCCUCCCAGCAUCCCCUAAAUGCACCCCGAAAUUUCUCUUUUUCCAUACACGUUAACAUUCUUUUUUCCAUACACAUUUUCCUUACACAUUAACAUUUAACAACACCAGCCCCGCUCCCCAUCACUAACUCAGCGAGGGAUGGCACUGGGUACGAUGAGCCACAGGGGCUCGCAUCGACAGUGGCUAACGCAGAGCAGCAGCAUUAAUCCUGUUUUUAGUUUCCCUGCCCUGUUCUGCAGAGAGAAGCCCAGCGCAAGAGCUGUCCAGCCUCCUGCUCCUCCACAGAUACAAACUUCAAGCACCACCACGGGGGAAAGCAGGAGGACGAGACACUGACAUGUGCAAAUACAAAAGGAAGGGAAAGGUUCGCUAAUGAGGCUGGGAAUGAGCCCUGCUGCAGGCGAUGCUGGCUGCAGAACCCCGCUGAGCGGAGAAGAUCGCGAAGCAGAUCCCCAUUUCCAAAGCGGUGACAAAUUCCCCCCAGUUCCAGGCUCCGCCGCCCUGCUCGCAGCGGUUCUCCUGCCUGGAGAGACGCCAAACCGAGAGCAAAAACCCCAACGACCGCAAAACCCAGCUCAAAGUUUCCACAGCUUUUAUUGAGAAACGUCCCCAAACAGUGACACACUUACAGAAGGCAACUGAGAUGGCAGGGCAGAAGCUCUCCGCCGAGCUGCUGCUGGGCAGAGGGGAGAAAAAAUGUUAGUGUUAUUUUGGGCAAGCCCUGAGAAUCGCGUGUCUCAUACCUCAUUAAACCCAAGCCAGAAGCGCUGCCCACUGAA